GAGUGGGUUCUUGUAACGGAUGUAGAUUAUUGGCUAGAUCCAGUCCUGAGACGUGUUCGGUUUGCUGUUAUUAGAAUCUCUCAUCAACCAUCUUUGUUCUCUCCAUCUAUUGAUGUGUUAUGGUGCUGAUGCAUAGUUCUCUCGGUUUUGUUGAUGCUAGGUCCAUAAUAGUCUGGUGAUCUUCAAGAUCAUAUACAAUCUAGAUCGCCAUAUAAUUGGAUCGGAUCCAUUAUUUAUACUGGCCAGCUACAUCUAACCUUUUUUUUUUUUUUUUUUUUUUUUUUACUUUUCUUGGUUUUGUGGUGAUCAAGAUAAUCAUUGUUGAGGUUUAUAAAUUUUCUGUAGAUGUUGAUUGCUAUGGAGUUAUUGGGUUGAGGAGUGAGUCUUAUAACGGAUGUAGAUUAUUGGCUUGAUCCAGUCCUUGAGACGUGUUCGGUUUGGUGUUAUUAUCUCUUAUCAAACGUCUUUGUUCUUAUUCAUCUAUUGAUGUGUUAUGGUGUUGAUGCAUACAAACUAAGUGUUUCUUUGGAUUUUGUUGAUGCUAGGUCCAUAUCUAUGCCAACAGUGACGAUCUUCAUGAUUAGAUGCUAUCUACAUUGCAAUCUAAUCGAAUUGUAUCCCUUAUUUAUUCUGGGCAGCUACAUCUAACCUUUUCUUUCUUUCCUUUGUUUUGGGGUGAUCAAGAUGAUUACUGUUGAAUUCUGGUUUAUAAAUUUUCUGUAGAUGUUGAUUGCUGUGGAGUUAUUGGGUCCAGAAGUGAGUUAUUGUAAUGGAUUUGCAUUAUUGGCUGGAUCUGUUCCUUGAGAAGUUUUCGGUUUGGUCCAUAGCUAUGCCAACAAUCUGAUGAUCUUCAAGAUUAGAUAUUACGCCAUCUAUGUGGAUUGGAUCCCUUAAUAAUAUUGGCCAGAGAAUCUAACUUCUUUUUUCUUUUCUUUGUUUUGGGGUGAUCAAGAAGUUUACUGUUGAUUUUGGUUUAAACUUUCUGUAGAUGUUGAUUGCUAUGGAGUUAUUGGAUUGAAGAGUGAGUUCUUGUAAGGAAUUUGGAUUAUUGGCUAGUUGAUUUAAUUUAAGAAGGGGAUUAUUGGGGGGAGGACUCGAAUUUAAUUUUGUGGCUUUUGUCUUUAGUUUGAUCUAUUGAUCCUAUCUAAGCAAACAGGUUUUGGAAUUUUCUUUUUAGGUGCCAUUCCAGUUUUUGCAUGCAUGGGAUAUAACAUUGGAAGGGUGCAGCCAGGGAAGCUGUCAUUUGUUUUUUCUA